rnacentral:lncRNA from 1 species
AACAAAUCCUUUCUCAGCUGUGUACCAAACACAAAGGAAGACAGAAGGCUGAGGGCUUCUAGAGGUCUCCUUAUCCACCCACCCCUCUCCCCUCAUUUUGUACAUUGUGAAACUGAGACCAAGAGAGGAAAGGGGAUUUCUCAAGGUUACCAACCAAUAAGCGAAAUCAGCCAUGGGUAACCGCAACCUCACCAUUCUCUUUUGCCCCAGUUCUCUGAGGGCUUUGGAUUUGAAUUCGGCUCUGCUGCUAACUUGGGCAAGUUCCAUAGCCUCUCCAAGAUUCAGA